GUGUUCUGGCAGUGGCCAGGAGGGCAAGUGGCACCCUUCUGUGGAAGUAAAUUUGCCUUGCUGAGAAAUUCUUUGUUUGAGUGCUCAUUUUCCUUGCGACUCCAAGCUCUUAUUUCCAACAGGGAAAUCUUUGACCUGUUUAUGUAACAAAGGAUGAGAUAGAAAGACAGAAAUGCUCAAGGAUGGAAAGAAAAGUGAGUGAGCAAGAGAGAUUAAGAGACAGAGAGUCAGAGUGUAACUUGGAAAAGUGGUGAAGAAAAUCUCAGGAAAAAAGGAGCACUCCACGACUGCUGAGGGUUCAAGAAGAGGACAGAGAAUUGAUGCUGUAUGUGCCUGAACAAGACAAUUGACAACCUUGUUGAGAGCAGUUUCAGUGGAAUAGUCAGGGAGAGAAAACCUGGAUUGGAGCAUGCUAAGGAAUGGAAGUAGAGAUGAAAGCACUCAGGGGUGCCCAGCAGGACAGCCUCCAGCUCUUCCAAUCAGAGCUGUAACACCAUUUCCUGAAACACCGUUUUCAACUAAGCUUUGGAGUGACAAAAAUACCUGUUAUCACGGACUAAUGCCUCCAGGAAAGAAAUCCUCGUGAUAUGCAUCUGUCCCCAAUAUGGCCACAGUAAAUCUGAGAGGAAGAAGGCACAGGCAAAUUACAGAAAAAGCCAUUACCUCUGAAAUGGUAAGUUUCAGGGGGAAAAAGAGGGAAUUUAUAUGUCAUCUGGAAGUUUUAGCAAAAUUACCCUAAAUGUGCUGCUCCUGGCAUUAUCCUCAGCAGGUAUGCCCUUCACAGAAUGCCAUGCAGGAUGUGUCCUGGCACCAGGAGGGACAUCAUGUCCUCAUUCAGCACACAUUUAGGAACAAUUCUACUUCCUGCUGAGAGCCACAAAAUAGUACCUUGAGAUCUACAGAAGCAAAACACCUUCCUCUCCGUGAAUAGAGAGAUCUGCGAAUCGCUAUAUGUUCAUAAAGAGAUGUGGCAAAUAAACUAGAUCCUGCGAAGGCUACAACCUGGGAGCUAGUUAAAGCCUUUGUGAUUCAUUAGCACAUGAGUUGUGAGCACUGUUACGGGACUAAAUGGUAUUCAGGGAGUCUGAAAGAGAUCAUGCCAUGACUAAUUCCCAGCAAAAUGUCUCAGCAUCAACUUAGCAACUCAGGGGAUAUCAUUAGUGUGCCCUCAGGAAAUUGCCUGGCUGGGAGGCAAGCCUAUUCCUUAUUCACACAGGUACUAUUAUUUACAGAAGAUACUAUAUAUAUAUUUUCAGUGGUAUUCACACCACUUUAUGUUUCUUGACAAUGGGACAUGCUUUAUUAUAAGACUGUUUACCUGAAUAGCAUGCUAAGAAAAAAAACUGUAGUUUUUGGGAAAUUAAACCAUGUUAAAAACAAUCUUUUGAACGUUUAAAUAAUUUCAUAAAUAGCAAGAUAAUGUUCUGGUAUAAGUGAACAUCAGAUUCCUCAGAUGUGGGUCCAAGCCAUAUGUAAGCUGUAAUUCUUACCACACAGCCACAUGAAAUGCAUGUCCACACAGCAUACAGUGAGCUGGGCAUGAACCCUGGAAAUAGUUCCCAUUCCGUUGGAGGUUGUUGCUGUCAUUGUGAAACAUCUGGAUUGGAUGCCCAUUGAGCUCUGAAAGCAAUGUUUUUUCUUUUCCUUUUUUCUUAAACCGAGCUUUUGAAACUACGUUUCAUAGGAAGGCCACAGCAGAUGGGUGCUGAACCUUACCUAGCAAACCAGAAGGAAAAGACCUGUUCCCUUGUUCAUCAGAGGAACUGAGGCUCUGCCUCGCUUCUGUGCCCUAGAGAAGAGGUGCAUGUGUUGCGUGGACCUUUUGUCCUUGAUGUUUCCACUGAUCACGAACGUGGUCUGCAUCUGAUGACUUCAGACCAUGAGAUCUCUAAAAGUUUAUUUUAAAUUCUAUCUUUUCAUGUCAGACUGCAGUAGUGAUCUGAGUUAAACCUAGAUCAUUGAACUCCUCUCUUCCCGAAGAACUGUACGAAGACAUCUCCACGACUAGUCAUACUGGUUUAUUCAUCCCAUCGAUGUCCCUCAGGUAAGCAGGAUCCUGAACUGUAUUUCGGACUCUGCUAGUGCUCUGCCGCUCCAUCCUCAUCUUCAGUGGAAAGCAGAAGUCCCGGAAACACCGCUUGAAGUUUUCAUCAAGAAAGGCGUAGAGAAUGGGAUUCAGGCUACUGUUGGUAUAGCCUAAGGCGAUGCAGAAGUAAUAGCUGGAGAGAGCAGCUGUGCUGUGGGAGGUGCUCCCCAGAGCCUCCACCAGGAUGAAUAUGUGAAUGGGAGUCCAGCAGACGACGAAGACUGCCACCACCACCAGGACCAGUCUGGUGAUCCUACGCAGGUUGCGAUCUUUCUCUCGGGAGCCAGAAAGGAGCCGGACGCUCUUGAGACGCAGGAUCAUCAGGGUGUAGCAGACGAUGAUGAUGAGGACAGGGAUCACGAAGGCAAAGAUGAAGACGCAGAUCUUCAUGAAGAGGUCCCACCAGGAGUAGUCAUCAUCUGGGAACUGCAAGGAGCACUCAAUGACAUCGACGUCUGGAGGAGGGCAAUAAAAACCACAACACAGAAACCUGUUAUUGUUAUUACCGUGGCUGCAAAGUGUUUUAAAUAUGAAUUUUAAUACCUUUUAUUGCAAUGGUCCAAUUAUGGUAAGAUGACAUUACCUGAAGUAGAUCACCAAAUUACUAAUGAAUACUGUAUUUUGUUAGCCAUCCUAAUCUUUGUGCAUGGAACAAUGAUGAUAGUCACUGUUUACUGGUAACAUACACAAUACUGUAGAAUUAAGAUUAGCUGACAAUCUUGCUCAUCUAGUUGCAGAAGUUGGUUUGACACUGAUGGCUUGCAGAAGAGGUAAAGAGUUAAUGUAUACCAUGAGUACUUAUUUCUAUUUCCAUUCAUUAACACUUCUCCCAGACCUAAGGCUCUGGCAAUAAAAAAGCUAAUGUCUAUUUGUAAUAAA